UAUUGGAGAGUUUGAGGGUGGCUCAGGAUGAACGCUGGCGGCGUGCCUAAUACAUGCAAGUCGCCCGAAUGGAUUAAGAGCUUGCUCUUAUGAAGUUAGCGGCGGACGGGUGAGUAACACGUGGGUAACCUGCCCAUAAGACUGGGAUAACUCCGGGAAACCGGGGCUAAUACCGGAUAACAUUUUGAACUGCAUGGCUCGAAAUUGAAAGGCGGCUUCGCCUGUCACUUACCGAUGGACCCGCGUCGCAUUAGCUACUUUGGUGAGGUAACGGCUCACCAAGGCAACGAUGCGUAGCCGACCUGAGAGGGUGAUCGGCCACACUGGGACUGAGACACGGCCCAGACUCCUACGGGAGGCAGCAGUAGGGAAUCUUCCGCAAUGGACGAAAGUCUGACGGAGCAACGCCGCGUGAGUGAUGAAGGCUUUCGGGUCGUAAAACUCUGUUGUUAGGGAAAGCUAAGUGCUAGUUGAAUAAGCUGGCACCUUGACGGUACCUAACCAGAAAGCCA
rnacentral:rRNA from 1 species